UACGUAGGGUGCAAGCGUUAAUCGGAAUUACUGGGCGUAAAGCGUGCGCAGGCGGUUUUGUAAGCCAGAUGUGAAAGCCCCGGGCUCAACCUGGGAACUGCGUUUGGAACUACAAGACUAGAGUGUGUCAGAGGGGGGUGGAAUUCCAAGUGUAGCGGUGAAAUGCGUAGAGAUUUGGAGGAAUACCAGUGGCGAAGGCGGCCCCCUGGCACAACACUGACGCUGAGGUGCGAAAGCGUGGGGAGCAAACAGGAUUAGAAACCCGGGUAGU
rnacentral:rRNA from 1 species